AGGACGAACGCUGGCGGCGUGCUUAACACAUGCAAGUCGAGCGAGGCCUUCCCUUCGGGGAAGUGCCCUAGCGGCGAACGGGUGAGUAACACGUGGGCAACCUGCCCCUAGCACUGGGAUAACUCCGGGAAACCGGGGCUAAUACCGGAUAUGACCUUUGAGGGCAUCCUCUUUGGUGUAAAGGAUUCUGGCUAGGGAUGGGCCCGCGGCCUAUCAGCUUGUUGGUGGGGUAAUGGCCUACCAAGGCGACGACGGGUAGCCGGCCUGAGAGGGCGACCGGCCACACUGGGGACUGAGACACGGCCCAGACUCCUACGGGAGGCAGCAGUGGGGAAUAUUGCACAAUGGGCGAAAGCCUGAUGCAGCGACGCCGCGUGAGGGAUGACGGCCUUCGGGUGUAACCUCUUUCAGUACCGACGAAGCGAAAGUGACGGUAGGUACAGAAGAAGCACCGGCCAACUACGUGCCAGCAGCCGC
rnacentral:rRNA from 1 species